rnacentral:lncRNA from 8 species
CCUCCAAUUGGUUCUGUCUAUUAAAAAUAGUAAAUUAACUGACUUCAGCUCCCCAGGACCAGGGAUGGAGAGUUGGAGACCAUUUAUUUUAUACCUCAGUACAUUGCCCUCUACAUGUUAGUUCAUAGUAAAAGCUGCCAGUUCUGUUUCGCCCUAUUUAACGUUCACUACAGAAAUAAUGUAUUUUUAAUGGCCAGGUAUGAAUGGGCAGGGCAGGUUUGCUCUCAGUCCGUUCUCUCUGAUAAGGUGUGUUUGUUAACCUUCUCUCUCUACUACUUGACUCUGUAACAGUCCCAUAUUUCCUGGUAUCCAUUUACCUCACUCCAUCGCUACAAGACAAUGAAGGAUACACACACCCUGCUCAAUCUGCUUCUGCUGUUCGUGUAUCUUGCAGGAUCAGCUGUGACCACUGAUGGAGGGAAGAUCAGUCCCAAUGGUCCCUUGGAACUAACCAUUUUGGGACCUGACUUUGUGACUGUGGGCGUGCCAUGCAGUUUUGACUGUUACGCCCAGUGCUCUCCCUCCUGUAGCUACAGAAUGAGUAUCGACGGACAGAUUGGGCAGAGGAACGAAGUGUUCUUCACAGCCCGGCAAUGGGAGGAGUCCCUAAACCUCACAUGCACUGCAAGGAAUGAUGACUCUGGGAGGUCCUCUACAGUAACAAAGAUACUGCAGGUUUUAGGUGCAUGGGUGGUUUGUUGUUUUAAUGACACUUCACUUGAAAUUAGAGCUGGACCAAGCAACGUAUCAAUCACAGGCCCUGACUUGAUGACCCCAGGUGCCCCACAAAGCUUCAAGUGUAACGCCAACUGUCGUCCCUCCUGCAACUACACCUGGGGGAUAAAGGGCCGAUGGCUCGGGGGACAGGGGAAUGAGAUUACCGUAACUCCCGAAGAGUUAGCCACCUCUGUUACCCUGAACUGCAAGGCCAUCAACAGUGUGUCUGGGCUCUAUGCCAUGGAAACCAGGACAAUACCUGUGACAUUUGGUCCAUCAGAGGUCCACGUCAUUGGUCAAGACUCUGUUGCAGUCGGCUUCAAGUCCAAGUUUCGGUGCACUGCCAAAUGCAUUCCUGCUUGUGACUACUGGUGGACCGUUGAUGGUCACACUGUUUAUGGCAGUGAGAUGGAGAUGACGGUCGAGCGACAUGUAAAGUCAGAGAAGAUUAAGUGCUACGCUCAGAAUACGGUCUCAAUGAAUUUUGACUUGGUAACCAAGACCGUACGGGUCGGAGAUGAUGGAAAAUCCAUGGCCACACAGGCUAAACAGACUAUAGACCUGCUUCUGUUUGCCUUUACACUCUCACUCUACACUGUAAUAUCACCAUAA